ACAUAAGGUCUCUAGGGUUCCGCCAGUACAAAACAGUGUCUGGGACUGGUCCAAGAGAGGCCACACCUCCGUAUAUGGGGGUGACACGGAGGGAUAAAAGCCCGGGAGAU
rnacentral:sRNA from 2 species